AAUUAUACACACAUUGAGCAACUAUACACACAUUCAGUGAUGCCACAGCAACAUUUAGGUCAUUUCUCUUUUAAGAUUUCUGCAACACACCAAACAUGGAUGACAAGAGUGAAGGAUAAGGUUAUGGCUCAUCAAUUUUAAGUUUACCUGUGCCUGCAGUGCAACCCUCUCUGGUCCCGGAUGUCUACAGGUUUCGGACUCAUGCCUCAAGGUUUCUGCGCUUGCAUCUCUUCUCUGGAUUUGUUGAUCUUUCCUGGAUUCAUUCUGGUUAUCAAUCUUUUCACCUGGCCUUUGACUAUGCUCAUCUGUCAGUCAUGUACAGAGCCCAAUUUUGUUCAAUAAAUGUUCUGAACUGCCUUUGCUGUUUAUUUUUUAUUUAUUAAACAUUUUAUAUUUGCUGUCACAUAUUACAUGCUGUUAUAAAUGCUGUAUAAUAUGCUAUCACAUAAAUUACAUGCUAUUAUAAUAUUAUACUGUAGUAAUGAUCAAGUUCGUCAGGGAAGGAAGAGGACAAGGGUCGGCUUUGACUGCUGACUGAGUUUUUAUUUCACCAAGAAAAAUAAACAAACAAAAGUCUGUGCAACGCACAAUCAAACAAUCCACAUCUACAGACGGGCUUCACUCCAGCAUUGAUCUCCUGAUAAGCUCCAGCAGUCUCAGUCAGCAGUCCCUCUCUCUCUCACACACUCCUGCUUCUCCUGGUGUUUUA